UACGGAGGGGGCAAGCGUUGUUCGGAAUUACUGGGCGUAAAGGGCGCGCAGGCGGCUGCUCAAGUCAGGCGUGAAAGGCCUGGGCUCAACCCGGGAAUUGCGCUUGAGACUGGGCUGGCUUGAGUGCGGGAGAGGAUGGUGGAAUUCCCAGUGUAGAGGUGAAAUUCGUAGAUAUUGGGAAGAACACCGGUGGCGAAGGCGGCCACCUGGACGACAACUGACGCUGAGGCGCGAAAGCGUGGGGAGCAAACAGG
rnacentral:rRNA from 1 species